UACGUAGGGACCAAGCGUUGUCCGGAAUCAUUGGGCGUAAAGAGCGUGUAGGCGGCUUGUUAAGUCUUGCGUGAAAUCUCGGGGCUCAACCCCGAGCGGUCGUGGGAAACUGGCAGGCUAGAGUGCGGGAGAGGAGAGUGGAAUUCCUGGUGUAGCGGUGAAAUGCGCAGAUAUCAGGAAGAACACCCGUGGCGAAGGCGGCUCUCUGGAACGCAACUGACGCUGAGACGCGAAAGCGUGGGGAGCGAACAGG
rnacentral:rRNA from 1 species